rnacentral:rRNA from 1 species
CAUUGGAGCUAGGGUCUCGGGGCCCAACCUCCCAUCCGUGUUGUCCUGACACCUGUUGCUUCGGCGGGCCCGCCGUGGUUCACGCCCCGGCCGCCGGGGGGUUCACGCCCCCGGGCCCGCGCCCGCCGAAGACCCCUGGAACGCUGCCUGGAAGGUUGCCGUCUGAGUAUACAAUCAAUCAAUUAAAACUUUCAACAACGGAUCUCUUGGUUCCGGCAUCGAUGAAGAACGCAGCGAAAUGCGAUAAGUAAUGUGAAUUGCAGAAUUCCGUGAAUCAUCGAAUCUUUGAACGCACAUUGCGCCCCCUGGCAUUCCGGGGGGCAUGCCUGUCCGAGCGUCAUUGCUAACCCUCCAGCCCGGCUGGUGUGUUGGGCCGCCGUCCCCCCUCCCCGGGGGACGGGCCCGAAAGGCAGCGGCGGCGUCGCGUCCGGUCCUCGAGCGUAUGGGGCUCUGUCACACGCUUCAGUAGAACCGGCCGGCUUGCUGGCCAUCACCUAUAUUUUUCUCUUAGGUUGACCUCGGAUCAGGUAGGGAUACCCGCUGAACUUAAGCAUAUCAAUAGGCGGAGGAAGGAUCAUUACCGAGUGAGGGUCCCUCGGGGCCCAACUCCAUCGUGUUGUCCUGACACCUGUUGCUUCGGCGGGCCGCCGUGGUUCACGCCCGGCCGCCGGGGGGGUUCACGCCCCGGGCCGCGCCGCCAAAACCUCACUAAGACAUGCUUGUGAGGGAUGCGCCCCGCAGAAUUACCAUCCAUCCACUUUAAACUUUCACACGGAAUCUCUUGGCGUCGGCAUCCAUGAGACCAGCAAUGGCAUAGGUUAUGUGAUUGCGAUCGUGAAUCAUCACAUGAUGAUGCGGCUGCGGGCGCAGGCUAUCAGUAACGUCACUCUCGACUUGAGGAAGAUACGGC